AGAGUUUGAUCCUGGCUCAGGAUAAACGCUGGCGGCGUGCCUAACACAUGCAAGUCGAACGCUCUCUGGCAACAGAGGGAGUGGCGGACGGGUGAGUAACACAUGGGUGACCUAUCUUUCAGUGAGGAAUACCGGCGAGAAAUCGCCGACAAUACCGCAUAGGCUCGCUCUCGUCGAAGAGGGAGAGCAAAGUCGCAAGACGCUGGAAGCUGGGCCCGUGGCCGAUUAGCUAGUUGGUGGGGUAAGAGCCCACCAAGGCGACGAUCGGUAGCUGGUCUGAGAGGACGAUCAGCCACACUGGGAUUGAGAACGGCCCAGACUCCUACGGGGGGCAGCAGUGAGGAAUUUUCGGCAAUGGGGGCAACCCUGACCGAGCAACGCCGCGUGCAGGACGAAGGUUUUCGGAUCGUAAACUGCUUUUCUUGGGGACGAGCAAGGACGGUACCCAAGGAAUCAGCCCCGGCUAACUACGUGCCAGCAGCCGCGGUAAUACGUAGGGGGCGAGCGUUAUCCGGAGUUACUGGGCGUAAAGGGCACGCAGGCGGUCGUGUAAGUUUGGGGUUACAGCUCCCGGCUCAACUGGGAGAGCGCCUUGAAGACUGCAGGACUUGAGGGCCACAGAGGGACACAGAAUUCCGGGUGUAGUGGUGAAAUGCGUAGAUAUCCGGAGGAAUACCAAAGGCGAAGGCAGUGUCCUGGGUGGCACCUGACGCUCAGGUGCGAAAGCUAGGGGAGCAAACAGGAUUAGAUACCCUGGUAGUCCACGCUGUAAACGAUGGGUGCUGGCCGUUGGGACCGCAAGGUUUCAGUGGCGAAGCUAACGCGAGAAGCACCCCGCCUGGGAAGUACGGUCGCAAGAUUAAAACUCAAAGGAAUUGACGGGGGCCCGCACAAGCGGUGGAGUAUGUUGUUUAAUUCGACGCAACGCGAAGAACCUUACCAGCCCUUGACAUGUCUGCUAUGGGCCCAAGAGAUUGGGCCCUUCGGUUCGGCCGGGCAGAACACAGGUGCUGCAUGGCUGUCGUCAGCUCGUGUCGUGAGAUGUUGGGUUAAGUCCCGCAACGAGCGCAACCCUUGUCAUUAGUUGCCAUCAUUUAGUUGGGCACUCUAAGGAGACUGCCGGUGACAAACCGGAGGAAGGUGGGGAUGACGUCAAGUCCUCAUGGCCCUUAUGGGUAGGGCUUCACACGUCAUACAAUGGUCGGUACAGAGGGUUGCCAAGCCGCGAGGUGGAGCCAAUCCCACAAAGCCGAUCGUAGUCCGGAUUGUUCUCUGCAACUCGAGAGCAUGAAGUCGGAAUCGCUAGUAAUCGCAGGUCAGCAUACUGCGGUGAAUACGUUCCCGGGUCUUGUACACACCGCCCGUCACACCAUGGGAGUGGGUUGCUCCAGAAGUAGGUAGCCUAACCGCAAGGAGGGCGCUUACCACGGAGUGAUUCAUGACUGGGGUGAAGUCGUAACAAGGUAUCC
rnacentral:rRNA from 1 species